rnacentral:misc_RNA from 1 species
GAUGAAGAACGUAGCGAAAUGCGAUAACUAAUGUGAAUUGCAGAAUUCCGUGAAUCAUCGAGUCUUUGAACGCACAUUGCGCCCCCUGGUAUUCCGGGGGGCAUGCCUGUCCGAGCGUCAUUGCUGCCCAUCAAGCACGGCUUGUGUGUUGGGUCCUCGUCCCCCCCGGGGGACGUGCCCGAAAGGCAGCGGCGGCACCGCGUCCGGUCCUCGAGCGUAUGGGGCUUUGUCACCCGCUCUGCAGGCCCGGUCGGCGCUGGCCGACGCGAAAGCAACCAUUUUUUCUCCAGGUUGACCUCGGAUCAGGUAGGGAUACCCGCUGAACUUAAGCAUAUCAAUAAGCGGAGGA